CACAGCUUCAGACAUGCCCUAUUGCCCUGAGGCUUGAGUCCUUAACACUGCCUUGAAGAACUUGGACUCUGUUCUGCCUUUCUCACCUGCUCACCCAGGAGACACCUGAACUUGAGCUGACUCAGCCAGCCACAUUUCCCGAGGCCUCUCCCACAGUGCCUUCUUCUUCAGGGCUUUUCCCAGAGCUCUGCUUCUCAGGUCAGAAGUGACCCACGCCCCAGUUCUGACCGCAACACCUUCAUUCGGAGGAAGACUUUACUGCCUUUUCCUGCCCUGCACUAACCACUUCUCACGCUGCCCACUCCUAGGGGCCAGUGGGCGCGGCAUAAUCACUACCUGCACCGUCGCUUGCCCUGCUACGUCAUUAGCCCCUGAUACCUGCAGCUCUGUUUGGAGUCCAUUUUUACCCUCUAUAGUGGCCUAUAAAUUGAUUUGCCUCUAACAAUUGGGAAGAAAGACUUCCCUGGGCAUACACUCAACACGAACGCAGGACCAUGUUCACUAAGACACGGAUGUCGCAACAAGCCUAUCUAUAAUACCCUAAUGGGAUGGAAAUGAACGAUCUGGAACUUCAGCCAAAGCAUGGAUGAAUCUCACAAAUGGUGAACAAAAGAGACCAGAACUGAAAUUGUGUGAUUCUACUCAUGUCAAGUACAGACAUUAGCGAAAUUCAUACAUGUUUGUCAGAAGCCUGGACAGGCUGACCUCGGGGUGGAGGGUGCCUGGGGGAAGUGUGGGCUUCUCUGGGAGCUGCUGAUGUUGGCUUCCUGAUCUGGGUGCUGCUUCCACAGUGCACAGGGUGUGAGAGCUUGUUCUGUGUGUCUGUGAUGAAUGUCUGCAUGUUAUGCCACAAGGAAAAUUUUUAAAAGGAAAUACAUUUUUAUAAAAGUUUAGAAAAUGUAAAUA